rnacentral:rRNA from 1 species
GACAGAGGUGCCGAGCGUUAGGCGGAAUCACUGGGCUUAAAGCGUGUGUAGGCGGGUCGUUAAGUGUCUCGUGAAAUCCCACCGCUCAACGGUGGAACUGCUGGGCAUACUGGCGAUCUUGAGCCACCUAGGGGCAGACGGAACAAGCGGUGGAGCGGUGAAAUGCGUAGAUAUCGCUUGGAACGCCGACGGUGAAAACAGUCUGCUGGGGGUGUGCUGACGCUGAGACACGAAAGCCAGGGGAGCGAACGGG